rnacentral:rRNA from 1 species
GACGAACGCUGGCGGCGUGCUUAACACAUGCAAGUCGAACGAUGAACCCGGAGCUUGCUCCGGUGGAUUAGUGGCGAACGGGUGAGUAACACGUGAGUAACCUGCCCUUGACUCUGGGAUAACUGCGGGAAACUGUAGCUAAUACCGGAUACGACCCUCGGCGGCAUCGCCAGGGGGUGGAAAGAAUCUCGGUCAAGGAUGGACUCGCGGCCUAUCAGCUAGUUGGUGAGGUAACGGCUCACCAAGGCGACGACGGGUAGCCGGCCUGAGAGGGCGACCGGCCACACUGGGACUGAGACACGGCCCAGACUCCCACGGGAGGCAGCAGUGGGGAAUAUUGCACAAUGGGCGCAAGCCUGAUGCAGCAACGCCGCGUGAGGGAUGACGGCCUUCGGGUUGUAAACCUCUUUUAGUAGGGAAGAAGCGAAAGUGACGGUACCUGCAGAAAAAGCACCGGCUAACUACGUGCCAGCAGCCGCUGUAA